rnacentral:rRNA from 1 species
AUUGAACGCUGGCGGCAGGCCUAACACAUGCAAGUCGAGCGGAUGAAGGGAGCUUGCCCCUGGAUUCAGCGGCGGACGGGUGAGUAAUGCCUAGGAAUCUGCCUGGUAGUGGGGGAUAACGUCCGGAAACGGGCGCUAAUACCGCAUACGUCCUGAGGGAGAAAGUGGGGGAUCUUCGGACCUCACGCUAUCAGAUGAGCCUAGGUCGGAUUAGCUAGUUGGUGGGGUAAAGGCCUACCAAGGCGACGAUCCGUAACUGGUCUGAGAGGAUGAUCAGUCACACUGGAACUGAGACACGGUCCAGACUCCUACGGGAGGCAGCAGUGGGGAAUAUUGGACAAUGGGCGAAAGCCUGAUCCAGCCAUGCCGCGUGUGUGAAGAAGGUCUUCGGAUUGUAAAGCACUUUAAGUUGGGAGGAAGGGCAGUAAGUUAAUACCUUGCCGUUUUGACGUUACCAACAGAAUAAGCACCGGCUAACUUCGUG